rnacentral:lncRNA from 1 species
GUUAGGCUGCAGCUGCUGGAUGUGUCUCCUGAUCCCUGAGACCCACUCCUCCCAUGCAUCCUCAGAGUCCCUCAAACCCCACAUCCAGAGCCAGACAGGAUUCCCAGACCAAGUAUCUCUCCCAUAGAAGUCAUCCUUGGGUACUAACACUACUAUUGUGUCCCAGAGCUGGUUCCUUCUCGUGGGUUCUCGGUCUCGCUGACUUCAAGAAUGAAGCCGCAGACCUUCGCAAUGAAGCGACUAAGACACAGAGCACUGAAGCAAUCUGCCCCUCAGAAGUCCCCCAGAGGCGCGUGAACCCUGAGCUGCCCCCCAGACUCUGGGUUUCCCCUUCUUUUCCCCAAACAGCCCUAGCUCCCCCCAGGCACUCGCGUUGCUCAGACCUUUGUGAUGGACUCUGAGUGUUGUGUGUGCAUUUCUCUGUGUUUGUUCAUGUACAAGCGUGCUCGUGUGUGUGUGUGUAUAGAUGUACACAUGUACAUGGGUGUGUCUGGGUGUGUGAUUUGUUUGCAUAUUUGUGUGUGGGGCACGCGCAUGUAUCCUUGGCUGCAUUUGUGGGUGCGUGCAUAGGUGUGCUUGUGUGUGCAUUUGUAUGUGUGCACACAUGUGCGUGCAUGUGCAUGGGGGGAUUGCAUGCAGGCAUGUGUGUAUCCUUGUGUGUUUGUGUAUGUGCAUGUGUGUGUGUGCAUGUGGGAAUUUGCAUGCAUGCUUGUGUGUGUUUGUGUAUGUGCAUGUGUGUGUGUGCAUGUGGGAAUUUGCAUGCAUUCUUGUGUGUGUUUGUGAGUGUGUACACGUGCAUGGGCGUGUUUGAGUGUGUACAUUUGUGUGUGCACUUAUUUGUGUGCAUCUGUGUGGGGGCAUCUGCAUGGAUCCUUGUGUGCAUUUGUGUGUGUGCACACGUGUGCACGUGUGUGCAUUCAUUUGUGUAUGUGUGUGGGUGUGUGCAUGUGGGCAUGCGUGUGUAUCUUUGUGAGCAUGUACGUGUGUGUCCUUGUGUGCAUGUCUGUGCGUGUGCAUACAUGUGCGUGUGUGCAUUUAUGCGUGUAUACUUGUGUGUGCACUUGUAUGUAUGCACAUAUGUCUGGAGGACAUGGCCUUGCCCCAGGGUCUGGGGACCCUUCCCUGCCUGCCCUGCCCUGCCCUGCCCUGCCCUGAAGUCUGGGGAACUUGGCCCUGCUCCGGGGUCUGGGGAACCCUGCCCUGGGCCCCUGCCUGCCCUGGGCCCCUGCCUGCCCUGGCGGCUCACCUUGCUCUCGGGCCUGCUGAAUGGAAUCUGCAGCCGCUCCAUGGCCUCGAUCAUGGCCCGCAUGGACACGAAGAUGUUCUGGUAGACCAGGGGCCGGAAGCCCUUGCGCUCCUCCUCCGAGUAGCCGGCGCCGUGGAUGAUCCGCAUCUGCUUGAUGAAGGAAAUAAAUGAUAAUCCUGUUGCCACCCGCGACACAGAUUUGAUGACUCAGGGAUGGGUCAUCACCCGAAGCCUGAAGAGCUGCAGACUGGGUCUCGCAAUGUUGUCCAGGCUGGUCUUGAACUCCUGGGCUCAAGCAAUCCUCCUGCCUUAGCCUCCCGAGUAACUGGGACUACAGGACGAUAGCAACCAUCACGGGAUGAUCAAGCUCUUUGCCCGGGGCAGACAAACGCGAGUCCAGAAGACUUGAGACCUUCUCCAGCCCCCAACCCAGAGCUCGGGGAUCCCAGAAGACCCUCCCAGGCUAGCAU